UACAGAGGUCUCAAGCGUUGUUCGGAUUCAUUGGGCGUAAAGCGCGCGUAGGUGGCUUCGUAAGUCCGUUGUGAAAGUCAAAGGCUCAACCUUUGAAUGCCGAUGGAUACUGCGAAGCUAGAGUACGGAAGAGGCGAGUGGAAUUCCUGGUGUAGCGGUGGAAUGCGCAGAUAUCAGGAGGAACACCAAUGGCGAAGGCAGCACUCUGGGACGUGACUGACGCUGAGACGCGAAAGCGUGGGGAGCAAACAGG
rnacentral:rRNA from 1 species